UUGCAUAAUAAUAUUUCCGCCCACUAUAUACAAUUUAACUCUCUUUUUGGAAGAAAAAAAGUUGAGGAUUAAUUGCAACAACUAUAUGGUGAUCCUUUUAACUUCAAUACGUUUUCGACUUGAUCGAUAAAAGUUAGAUCAUAAACAUAAUUUAAGGUCAUGUUCUUUUUUCUAAUGGUGUAUUGAUAUCUUUAUUUAUCCCUUUAAUUUUACUUUAAUUGUAAGUUAGACUUUACUUUCAUUGUAAUAAAAUUUUACUAUUAAAAAAAUAUAAACUUAUCCCUUAAUAAGUGACAUUUGUUUUUGUACAAUAAUUAAUGUGUCUUAUUUUAAGUGGUGGUUAGAUCCAAUUUCAUGUUGAAUUUAAUAUUGUGGAACAAAAAGGCGGUGUUAUAUAUAUAUAUAUGAUGGUCGAUGGUGCAAGAGGGGAUCGGAAGAUUAUACUUAAAGAAGCAGAAGCAUACUUGUACUCCAAUCUAAUAAAAAUGUUCUAUAUAUAAUAGAAAAUACGGAUACGUGCUGUACAGGAAAAGAAAAUGAAUAUGUAAGUAUGAUUCGGAAUACAUAUGCACCAUGACGCUUUUAAUCAUGGAUACAAAGCAGCAAAGCCCUCUUUUGACAUAACAACACAUUCAAUUUUGAGACAUGCAUGUUACAAACGACUAAAAGCCCACGCCAUUAAUAACAUCAACAGUCUUUUAUCACUUCUAUAUAGUAACUAAACAAGGUUUUUUUUCGGUGAGCUUAGGGGAGCUAGUCAAACAAUCAUUUAAAACUUAAUCACACAAAACAUGUAGAGGUAUAGAAAAAAUACAAAAGGUAAUGGUGGGCAAGUGAAAAUCCAUAGUUUUGGGGAGUUAUUUGUAUCCCAAAGUCGAAAACCAUUAUGCCCUAAAGGCAUUAUCGGAUGUGACUCCUUGUUCACUACCUGGAUGCACCUUGUUCUUUCCCACACUAGAACUAGCCACCUUUCUCUCUUCAGUACUCACCUCACCUCUUCGUACUCUUUCCACUUCCAUUCUCUUCAACUUCUCUUUCUGCCUCUUCUCCAUAACAUAAAUUUCAGCUGAACGUGCCCCAAUGGAAGACAUGUUGUUCUCUGCAAAAACAACAAACUAGCUAAUAUUGCAAAAAAGUUUACUAAUUAUUAGACUUGGCUACUAAGAAAUGCUUUAUGAAAUUAGCAUUGCCAAAGAUGGUAUUUAUAGGAGUUGGAAUUUGAUGAGAGCGUGUGGAAUAAGCAGCCACGUUCAUUUCUCCAAUGCCCUUGUGGUUUGUGGCUUUGCUUUACAACCAACCAUAAUUAACAUUAAUUAUCUUAAUUGCACUCACACAAAAAAAUAAAAUGCCAUGUUGUCAUCAUACUUUGCAUGGAAAAUUA
rnacentral:lncRNA from 1 species